GCCUGGGGCAUCCUGGACCACGCACCGGGGACACAGGGGGGCAAGGGAGGUCAGGGAAGGUCACAGAAGGACUAGAUGAUGCACAGAGGGUUAGAGAGGUCAGAAAGUGUGACAGUAAGGAUAAAAAGGGUUAGAGAGGAUAAAUAAAGGUCACAGGAGGUCAAGAAAAAGGGAAAAAAGGUCAAAUAGGGUGACAGAAAGGUUAGAAAGGGUUACAGGAAGCUAGUUGGUGCACAGAUGGUAAAUAAAGGUCACAAGAGGUCAAUGAAGGUCAGAAAAGGUCAAAGAAACGCUACAGAAGAUGAGAUAAAAACUAGAAAGGGUCACAAGAGGUAGCUGAAGCAGAGACAAAAUAAAGGUCACCGAAAGUUCAAACAAGGGUCACAAAAGGUCAGAAAGUGUCACAGAGGUCAAAAUCACACCCCAGAGGUCACGAGAGCAGGAGAAAGUGAGGUGGAGGAGGCUUAGAACACGCAGGUAAGGGAUUGGAAUGUCUUGUCAUCAGUAUUCAGACGUGCAGGUGACUCAGAUCGGCCACUCCACCUGUCUGUCUUGAUUGCUAAUGUGUCAGGUGAUCAGGGAGGUGUGUGGAAGAGGUGUGGAGCGAAGUGGAAGGGUAGUAUAGCAAAGUGAAGGGUGGUGGAGAGGAUGUGGAAGGGGUGUGGAAGAGUUAUGGAGGAUAUUACAAGAGUGAAGUGGAAUGGUGUGUAGUGGAGGGGGUGUGGAAGGUAGUGGAAGAGGGUGGAAGGCUUCUGGAACAGUGGAUGAAGAGUAGAGAGCAGUGGAAGGGUAGUGGAUGGUCAAACGAAGAAGUGGAGAGGUGGUUUAGAAUAGUGGAUAGGUGAGAGAGAAGGGAUUAUAGGCUGGUGUGGAUAUGUGGAGAGGUGGAUGGUUGGUGGAGGGUGGAGAAGAGUAGUGGAAGGCUAAGGAAGCAGUGGAGAGGUGGAUUAGAACAGUGAAUAAGAGAGUGGAGGGUUUUAGAGCAGUGGGCGGAAAGUGGAUAAAAUAAAUAAAAGACGGUGUAAGUGGUUAGCGGAGAAGUGAAGAAGGG